UGCAGUCGAGGGGCAGCACUUACUUCGGUAAGUGGCGACCGGCGCACGGGUGAGUAACACGUAUGCAACCUACCUUUAACUGGGGCAUAGCUCGAGGAAACUCGAAUUAAUUCCCCAUAAUAUAAUACAUUAUCUCAUGAUAUAAUUAUUAAAGAUUUAUUGGUUAAAGAUGGGCAUGCGUCUGAUUAGUUUGUUGGUGAGGUAACGGCUCACCAAGACUUCGAUCAGUAGGGGGUCUGAGAGGAUGAUCCCCCACACUGGUACUGAGACACGGACCAGACUUCUACGGAAGGCAGCAGUAAGGAAUAUUGGGCAAUGGGCGAAAGCCUGACCCAGCCAUGCCGCGUGCAGGAUGACGAUCUUACGGAUUGUAAACUGCUUUUAUAUAGGAAGAAAAUACUCUUGCGAGAGUAACUGACGGUACUAUAAGAAUAAGGACCGGCUAACUCCGUGCCAGCAGCCGCGGUAAUACGGAGGGUCCAAGCGUUGUCCGGAUUUAUUGGGUUUAAAGAGUGCGUAGGUGGUUUAUUAAGUCAGUGGUGAAAUCCUGCAGCUCAACUGUAGAACUGCCAUUGAUACUGAUAAACUUGAGUUUGGUUUAGGUAAGUGGAAUUUAUGAUGUAGCGGUGAAAUGCAUAGAUAUCAUAAGGAACACCAAUAGCGAAGGCAGCUUACUGGACCAUAACUGACACUGAGGCACGAAGCGUGGGUAGCGAACAGGAUUAGAUACCCUGGUAGUCCACGCCGUAAACGAUGCUCACUCGAUGUUAGCGAUAUACUGUUAGCGUCCAAGCUAAAGCGUUAAGUGAGCC
rnacentral:rRNA from 1 species